UACAGAGGUCUCAAGCGUUGUUCGGAUUCAUUGGGCGUAAAGGGUGCGUAGGUGGCGCGGUAAGUCGGGUGUGAAUUCGGAGCUUAACUCCGAAACUGCAUUCGAUACUGCCGUGCUUGAGGACUGGAGAGGAGACUGGAAUUUACGGUGUAGCAGUGAAAUGCGUAGAGAUCGUAAGGAAGACCAGUGGCGAAGGCGGGUCUCUGGACAGUUCCUGACACUGAGGCACGAAGGCCAGGGAGCAAACGGG
rnacentral:rRNA from 1 species